UACGUAGGUGGCAAGCGUUGUCCGGAUUUACUGGGCGUAAAGAGCGCGCAGGCGGUCGUCCAAGUCGCGUGUGAAAGCCCCCGGCUCAACUGGGGAGGGUCACGCGAUACUGAUCGACUCGAAGGCAGGAGAGGGUAGUGGAAUUCCCGGUGUAGUGGUGAAAUGCGUAGAUAUCGGGAGGAACACCGGUGGCGAAGGCGGCGAUCUGGGUCGAUACUGACGCUGAGGUGCGAAAGCGUGGGGAGCAAACAGG
rnacentral:rRNA from 1 species